GACGAACGCUGGCGGCGUGCUUAACACAUGCAAGUCGAACGCUGAAGACCUGGCUUUUGUUGGGUUGGAUGAGUGGCGAACGGGUGAGUAACACGUGAGUAACCUGCCCUCUUCUUUGGGAUAACGCCCGGAAACGGGUGCUAAUACUGGAUAUUCACUGAUCUUCGCAUGGGGGUUGGUGGAAAGGUUUGUUCUGGUGGGGGAUGGGCUCGCGGCCUAUCAGCUUGUUGGUGGGGUGAUGGCCUACCAAGGCUUUGACGGGUAGCCGGCCUGAGUGGGUGACCGGUCACAUUGGGACUGAGAUACGGCCCAGACUCCUACGGGAGGCAGCAGUGGGGAAGAUUGCACAAUGGGCGAAAGCCUGAUGCAGCGACGCCGCGUGAGGGAUGGAGGCCUUCGGGGUGUAAACCUCUUUCGCUCAUGGUCAAGCCGCAACUGUGGGUUGUGGUGAGGGUAGUGGGUAAAGAAGCGCCGGCUAACUACGUG
rnacentral:rRNA from 1 species